CGCCGUCUUGCCCCUUCUUCUUCGCGCGAAAACGGCCCCCAGCCCAAGAUCUCGCCGUUCUUGCCAUCGCCGGCGAAAUCCACGACCGUAAGCCGCGAGCCAAAGCCGCGCCGGUGACGCUGUCCGCCACCGAAGUCGUCGCCGGUUGUCGGGUCCUCUACGCCUCCUUUCUCCUUCGCACGCGAACUCUUUCCUUCCUCCAUAGAACAACGGCGACUCGCACAGGGACACCACCAGCGCCACGAAUCACAGCCAAAGUUGNCGCCGUUCGUCCAGUUUCCACUUCUCGGGCCAUGAACAAAACCGACCACCGUUGUCUUCGCCGGAAAACGCUUACACGUCAGAGUCGCCGGCACCACUCUCAUUCAAGANUCUUUUUCCUCCGAUGCCAAACAUUUCCAGCAACAUCAUCGCNGGUGUCAAGGGCGAAAACGCCUUUCCUUCUCUUUUUCUCAUUUCCUUUUCAAUAUUGUUCAUUUGAAUGUUGUUCUGUUGAUGGAAGUUUCUUCCAUUGGGAUAUUUUGGGUUAAAUCUGAUGGGAUUUUGUUUUACAGGUCAUAGAGGACAUUGAGCAUGGAGCUCGAGAUGUCAAUCUAGAGGGAAGGCGCUGGGUGUAACGACUUGGUGUAACGGUUGUUCAAAGGAUAGAGCUUAGAAUCUGGGUUUUGGUUUGUUCAAUCUGCUUGAUGGAGGUAGAAGAUGGUGUAGCGUUUCCUAUUCCGAUAUAUGCUGAUAUGAAAAAUUAUUUAUGUUUGUCUUUUAUUUACAUGCUUUUCUGGACAUUUCUGGAUGUGAGCAAAGAGGGUAUUGGGGU
rnacentral:lncRNA from 1 species